GCCUGGGUGGCUCAGUGGUUGAGCAUCUGGCUUCCACUCAGGAUGCCAUCCCAGGGUCCUGGGGAUCAAGUCCCACAUUGGGCU
rnacentral:tRNA from 1 species